UACGUGAGCCUCGAGCGUUAUCCGGAAUUAUUGGGCGUAAAGAGCUCGUAGGCGGUUUGUCGCGUCUGCCGUGAAAGUCCGGGGCUCAACUCCGGAUCUGCGGUGGGUACGGGCAGACUAGAGUGCAGUAGGGGAGACUGGAAUUCCUGGUGUAGCGGUGAAAUGCGCAGAUAUCAGGAGGAACACCGAUGGCGAAGGCAGCCCCCUGGGCUAACACUGACGCUCAGGCACGAAAGCGUGGGGAGCAAACAGG
rnacentral:rRNA from 1 species